AGUAGGAAAUGAACUUACAGUUAUUUCGUCUGUUAUUUCGUCUAUAUUGCUGAACAAGUAUAGGAAAUGGAAUAUACUAGAUUAUUUAGUGAUUAUGAUGGUUUCCAGUAGUAUUUAUUGGAUGGUAUGGAUGUUGUUGGCUUAAAUGGGCCAGCAUCCUGCCCUGUGGCGGGAGGCCAUGUGGGCCGAGUCAUGUUCGAAAUGGCGUGAGGCUUGGUUCGACCGAGUCAUAUUCGAAGUGGCGUGAGGCCAGGUGGGCCGAGUCACAAUCAAAACCCGUGAGCGCUGUUUCUGUACGCUUUAAGUGAAUUGGUUGCGUAUUUUCUAACAGCUCGAGCUUUUGGGCUUAAUGGUUAGCGCCAACGAUCCGACAAGUGGUAUCAGAGCCAGAGGUCACGGGUUCGAUUUCUGCAUGCUGCAAAUGUGUGCAGGUGCUGGAGGGGGGAUUGUUGGCUUAAAUGGGCCAGCAUCCUGCCCUGUGGCGGGAGGCCAUGUGGGCCGAGUCAUGUUCGAAAUGGCGUGAGGCUGGGUUGGACCGAGUCAUGUUCGAAGUGGCGUGAGGCCAGGUGGGCCGAGUCACAAUCGAAACCCGUGGGCGCUGUUUCUGUACGCUUUAAGUGAAUUGGUUGCGUAUUUCUAACAGCUCGAGCUUUUGGGAUUAAUGGUUAGCGCCAACGAUCCGACAGAUGUGAACAUCCAUGCAACCCCAUACUAAUUGGAAGCCGUU
rnacentral:lncRNA from 1 species